CCUGGACGUUUUGGCCACUGGAACAUUCCAACGGGAGACUGCGGAUUGGUCUGGCAUUUCACAACCAACCAUGAGCCGAAUAUUGCCUGCAGUCCUUCAUGGCAUUAUUUCAUUGACCCCACAAUACAUUGUUUCCGUACACUGCUGUGCAACAGGCCAGAGUGAAAAGGGAACAAUUGACUGCACCUACAUCGCAAUAAAAGCACCAUCAGUGAACAAAAUCAACUUCGUCAACAGAAAAGGUUUCCAUUCUGUCAAUGUGCAGAUCAUAUGUGACUCACAUUUGGCUUUGUUGACUGUAGUGGCCAGGUGGGACACAUGAUUCAGUCAUUGCGCAGAACAACAGUUCAGUUGGCCUUAACCUCCAGACGGGAGCUGUUGAGUAUGGAUGGCUUAUUGGUAAGUGACUAGUGUUUUAUUUGCCAUGUUCGACCUCUAAUGGGAAACUGAAUGUUGUGUUCAUAACUGCAGGAGACCGGGGCUACCCAUUAAAAACCAUGGCUGAUGACUCCCCUCACAAACCAACAAGAUGCAAGGUUUGCUACAUUGUCAAGGCUUGCAGUGUGCGCCACAACAUUACAUUCAAAAAUGGCAUUCCACUGAACGAUCCACCCAGAUUCGAUGAGCCCAUGGAGUGUUUCCCACCACCCAUAGCUCUGGAACUGAAGACAAGAGUCAAUAUCAUACAACGGUUUAAAGUACUGCGUCAGUCAAAACAUGCAGCACAGCUGAAGUGCUCGCCAAAGCAGACACACUUCUUGUAGGCCUGGGGAUGGCUGAGGGGGUCAGGCAAAUCUCCCACAUCUGUGAAGAUUUCAUGUUUUGUUAUAUAUUUGUCAGGAAAA